rnacentral:rRNA from 1 species
UUAUCGGAGAGUUUGAUCCUGGCUCAGGACGAACGCUGGCGGCGUGCCUAAUACAUGCAAGUCGAGCGGACAGAUGGGAGCUUGCUCCCUGAUGUUAGCGGCGGACGGGUGAGUAACACGUGGGUAACCUGCCUGUAAGACUGGGAUAACUCCGGGAAACCGGGGCUAAUACCGGAUGGUUGUUUGAACCGCAUGGUUCAAACAUAAAAGGUGGCUUCGGCUACCACUUACAGAUGGACCCGCGGCGCAUUAGCUAGUUGGUGAGGUAACGGCUCACCAAGGCGACGAUGCGUAGCCGACCUGAGAGGGUGAUCGACCACACUGGGACUGAGACACGGUACCAGACUCCUACGGGAGGCGACAGUAGGGAAUCUUCCGCAAUGGACGAAAGUCUGACGGAGCAACGCCGCGUGAGUGAUGAAGGUUUUCGGAUCGUAAAGCUCUGUUGUUAGGGAAGAACAAGUACCGUUCGAAUAGGGCGGUACCUUGACGGUACCUAACCAGAAAGCCACGGCUAACUACGUGCCAGCGUACCGCGGUAAUACGUAGGUGGCAAGCGUUGUCCGGAAUUAUUGGGCGUAAAGGGCUCGCAGGCGGUUUCUUAAGUCUGAUGUGAAAGCCCCCGGCUCAACCGGGGAGGGUCAUUGGAAACUGGGGAACUUGAGUGCAGAAGAGGAGAGUGGAAUUCCACGUGUAGCGGUGAAAUGCGUAGAGAUGUGGAGGAACACCAGUGGCGAAGGCGACUCUCUGGUCUGUAACUGACGCUGAGGAGCGAAAGCGUGGGGAGCGAACAGGAUUAGAUACCCUGGUAGUCCACGCCGUAAACGAUGAGUGCUAAGUGUUAGGGGGUUUCCGCCCCUUAGUGCCGCAUGCGACUAACGCAUUAAGCACUCCGCCUGGGGAGUACGGUCGCAAGACUGAAACUCAAAGGAAUUGACGGGGGCCGCACAAGCGGUGGAGCAUGUGGUUUAAUUCGAAGCAACGCGAAGAACCUUACCAGGUCUUGACAUCCUCUGACAAUCCUAGAGAUAGGACGUCCCCUUCGGGGGCAGAGUGACAGGUGGUGCAUGGUUGUCGUCAGCUCGUGUCGUGAGAUGUUGGGUUAAGUCCCGCAACGAGCGCAACCCUUGAUCUUAGUUGCCAGCAUUCAGUUGGGCACUCUAAGGUGACUGCCGGUGACAAACCGGAGGAAGGUGGGGAUGACGUCAAAUCAUCAUGCCCCUUAUGACCUGGGCUACACACGUGCUACAAUGGACAGAACAAAGGGCGCCGAAACCGCGAGGUUAAGCCAAUCCCACAAAUCUGUUCUCAGUUCGGAUCGCAGUCUGCAACUCGACUGCGUGAAGCUGGAAUCGCUAGUAAUCGCGGAUCAGCAUGCCGCGGUGAAUACGUUCCCGAGCCUUGUACACACCGCCCGUCACACCACGAGAGUUUGUAACACCCGAAGUCGGUGAGGUAACCUUUUAGGAGCCAGCCGAAGGUGGGACAGAUGAUUGGGGUGAAGUCGUAACAAGGUAGCCGUAUCGGAAGGUGCGGCUGGAUCACCUCCUUU